UUGACCUCGGAUCAGGUAGGGAUACCCGCUGNAACUUAAGCAUAUCAAUAAGCG
rnacentral:rRNA from 1 species